rnacentral:rRNA from 1 species
ACGGAAGGCAGCAGUGGGGAAUAUUGGGCAAUGGGCGAAAGCCUGACCCAGCAACGCCGCGUGAAGGAAGAAGGCCUUCGGGUUGUAAACUUCUUUUAUCAGGGACGAAGGAAGUGACGGUACCUGAUGAAUAAGCCACGGCUAACUACGUGCCAGCAGCCGCGGUAAUACGUAGGUGGCAAGCGUUGUCCGGAAUGACUGGGCGUAAAGGGCGUGUAGCCGGGUCGGCAAGUCAGAUGUGAAAUCUAUGGGCUUAACUCAUAAACUGCAUUUGAAACUGUUGAUCUUGAGUAUCGGAGAGGCAAUCGGAAUUCCUAGUGUAGCGGUGAAAUGCGUAGAUAUUAGGAGGAACACCAGUGGCGAAGGCGGAUUGCUGGACGACAACUGACGGUGAGGCGCGAAAGCGUGGGGAGCAAACAGGAUUAGAUACCCUGGUA